UAGCAUUAUACAGCGAAACUGCGAAUGGCUCAUUAUAUAAGUUAUCGUUUAUUUGAUAGUACCUUACUACUUGGAUAACCGUGGUAAUUCUAGAGCUAAUACAUGCUAAAAAUCCCGACUUCGGAAGGGAUGUAUUUAUUAGAUUAAAAACCAAUGCCCUUCGGGGCUCCUUGGUGAUUCAUGAUAACUUCUCGAAUCGCAUGGCCUUGCGCCGGCGAUGGUUCAUUCAAAUUUCUUCCCUAUCAACUUUCGAUGUUUGGGUAUUGGCCAAACAUGGUUGCAACGGGUAACGGAGGGUUAGGGCUCGACCCCGGAGAAGGAGCCUGAGAAACGGCUACUACAUCCAAGGAAGGCAGCAGGCGCGCAAAUUACCCAAUCCCGACUCGGGGAGGUAGUGACAAUAAAUACUGAUACAGGGCUCUUUUGGGUCUUGUAAUUGGAAUGAGUACAAUUUAAAUCCCUUAACGAGGAACAAUUGGAGGGCAAGUCUGGUGCCAGCAGCCGCGGUAAUUCCAGCUCCAAUAGCGUAUAUUAAAGUUGUUGUGGUUAAAAAGCUCGUAGUUGAACCUUGGGCCUGGCUGGCCGGUCCGCCUCACCGCGUGUACUGGUCCGGCCGGGCCUUUCCCUCUGUGGAACCCCAUGCCCUUCACUGGGUGUGGCGGGGAAACAGGACUUUUACUUUGAAAAAAUUAGAGUGCUCCAGGCAGGCCUAUGCUCGAAUACAUUAGCAUGGAAUAAUAGAAUAGGACGUGUGGUUCUAUUUUGUUGGUUUCUAGGACCGCCGUAAUGAUUAAUAGGGACAGUCGGGGGCAUCAGUAUUCCGUUGUCAGAGGUGAAAUUCUUGGAUUUACGGAAGACUAACUACUGCGAAAGCAUUUGCCAAGGAUGUUUUCAUUAAUCAGGAACGAAAGUUAGGGGAUCGAAGACGAUCAGAUACCGUCGUAGUCUUAACCAUAAACUAUGCCGACUAGGGAUCGGACGAUGUUAUAUUUUGACUCGUUCGGCACCUUACGAGAAAUCAAAGUGCUGG
rnacentral:rRNA from 1 species